UUUUAUCAUUUAUUAAACAUUUUUCAUGUAUAAAUUUAUAUUACAUCGGUAAAUAUUAAUAACACGUCAAUCUGUUUUCAUUAUUUCACCAACAUAACAGUCAUGGAAUUAAUGGAAAUCUAUAGAUUUGGAUGCCAAUUUAAUUUAUGAGUUACGCCAAAACUGUAAAACAUGAUCACUAGAGAAUGAACAAAGACUGACACGUAUCAAGGGAAGUCAUAACUCCUCUUCCUGGUAAAUGCCUUAUCGAAGACGCAGUCAACAAAUAAUGAAAAUUUUGCGAAAAUAAACAUUGACAACCAUAUUCAUUUCUAAGGGAAAUCUCAAGGAAACAUUAGCCUUUCAAAAAUCUUUAUAGUGAUUUUUGAUAGAGUAGAAAUCUAUAAUUAUUCUUACCACAUGACAUACAUUAUAAUAAAUGAUUCAAAAAUUCCCAUACAUCAGUAUGACAUUUUUAAUAUACAGAGUGAUCAAAAUCUGGUAAGAUACUAGUUUUCUCAGAAACUAUUGAGAAUUUUAAUUUUU